rnacentral:rRNA from 1 species
GAGCGUCCUGCGAGGGGCGAAGCGGCGGUGGAACCGGCCGUGGACUUCGUGGGAGUGAGAAUGCAGACAUGAGUAGCGAGAGACGGGUGAGGAUCCCGUCCGCUGGAUGACCAAGGGUUCCGGGGCCACGUUCGUCGUCCCCGGGUGAGUCGGGUCCUAAGGCGAGGCCGACAGGCGUAGUCGAAUGGAUGAACGGGUGGAUAUUCCCGUACCGACCAUGGACCGGCAAAACCGAGACGGUGAGUACUAACCUCCGCCUCGUGGUGGUUCCUUCCUUCGGGUUGGUAUCGCCGCGUGGUGUUGGGAGCGUAGCCGCAGUAGGUCAGCGCAGGGGUGACACGGAAUGUGGGAGCCGGCCGCGGAGGUGGUUUUCCGUGGUCAAGCACGCAGCCAGUCAUGUAGGCAAAUCCGCAUGGCGUGCAUGGCGAGGUGUGAUGAUGGGAGCCGUUAUGGUUCGAUAUCCGGUUGUCCAGGCCGUCGAGAAAAGCCUCGGCGUGAGGGCCAUGGCCGCCCGUACCCCAAACCGACACUGGUGGUCAGGUAGAGAAUACCAAGGCGAUCGAGCGAAUCCUGGUCAAGGAACUCGGCAAAUCACUCCCGUGCCUUCGGUAUAAGGGAGACCCACUGGGGUGAAGGACCUUGCGUCCGGAGCUUUGGUGGGUGGCACAGACCAGGGGGUAGCGACUGUUUACCAAAAACACAGGUGCAUGCGAAGGCGAAAGCCGCUGUAUAUGCACUGACGCCUGCCCGGUGCCGGAAGGUUAAGAGGAUCCGUCAAUCCCUUCGGGGACGAAGCGGUGAAUUCAAGCCCCGGUAAACGGCGGUGGUAACUAUAACCAUCCUAAGGUAGCGAAAUUCCUUGUCGGGUAAGUUCCGACCUGCACGAAUGGCGUAACGACUUCCCCACUGUCUCGACCAGGAGCUCGGCGAAAUUGCAGUACGAGUAAAGAUGCUCGUUAAGCGCAGAAGGACGAAAAGACCCCGGGACCUUUACUAUACCUUGGUAUUGGCGUUAGGCGCGGAUUGUGUAGCAUAGGCGGGAGGCUUCGAAGCGGGUGCGCCAGCAUUCGUGGAGCCGCAAGGUGAAAUACCGCUCUGUUCUCGUUUGACGUCUAACCUCGACAAGUCAUCCUUGUCAGGGACAGUGCCUGGCGGGUAGUUCAACUGGGGCGGUUGCCUCCCAAAGAGUAACGGAGGCGCUCAAAGGUCCGCUCAGCCCGGUUGGCAAUCGGGUGUCGAGUGUAAUCGCACAAGCGGGCUUGACUGCGAGGACGACGGUCCGAGCAGGGACGAAAGUCGGAGAUAGUGAUCCGGUGCCGGCGCACGGGCGCGGCAUCGCUCAACGGAUAAAAGGUACCCCGGGGAUAACAGGCUGAUCAUUCCCAAGAGUCCAUAUCGACGGGAUGGUUUGGCACCUCGAUGUCGGCUCGUCGCAUCCUGGGGCUGGAGCAGGUCCCAAGGGUUCGGCUGUUCGCCGAUUAAAGCGGCACGCGAGCUGGGUUCAGAACGUCGUGAGACAGUUUGGUCUCUAUCCUCUGCGCUCGUUGGAAUCCUGAGGAGGCCUGCCCAUAGUACGAGAGGACCUGGGUGGACGAACCUCUGGUAUGCCGGUUGUCGCGCCAGCGGCACGGCCGGUUGGCUACGUUCGGGAGGGAUAACCGCUGAAAGCAUCUAAGCGGGAAGCCUGCUCCAAGAUUAGGAUUCCGUACGGUCUUGAACUGUUGUAGCCCGCAUGUUGAACACGUGUUUGAUAGGCCGGAGGUGGAAGCCCCGUGAGGGGUGGAGCCGACCGGUACUAACGGGCGACGGCGACAUAAC